rnacentral:rRNA from 1 species
GAUGAACGCUGGCGGUGUGCCUAAUACAUGCAAGUCGAGCGAACGGACGAGAAGCUUGCUUUUCUGAUGUUAGCGGCGGACGGGUGAGUAACACGUGGAUAACCUACCUAUAAGACUGGGAUAACUUCGGGAAACCGGAGCUAAUACCGGGUAAUAUUUUGAACCGCAUGGUUCAAAAGUGAAAGACGGUCUUGCUGUCACUUAUAGAUGGAUCCGCGCUGCAUUAGCUAGUUGGUAAGGUAACGGCUUACCAAGGCAACGAUGCAUAGCCGACCUGAGAGGGUGAUCGGCCACACUGGAACUGAGACACGGUCCAGACUCCUACGGGAGGCAGCAGUAGGGAAUCUUCCGCAAUGGGCGAAAGCCUGACGGAGCAACGCCGCGUGAGUGAUGAAGGUCUUCGGAUCGUAAAACUCUGUUAUUAGGGAAGAACAUAUGUGUAAGUAACUGUGCACAUCUUGACGGUACCUAAUCAGAAAGCCACGGCUAACUACGUG